AUUGAACGCUGGCGGCAGGCCUAACACAUGCAAGUCGAGCGGUAGCACAGAGAGCUUGCUCUCGGGUGACGAGCGGCGGACGGGUGAGUAAUGUCUGGGAAACUGCCUGAUGGAGGGGGAUAACUACUGGAAACGGUAGCUAAUACCGCAUAACGUCGCAAGACCAAAGUGGGGGACCUUCGGGCCUCAUGCCAUCAGAUGUGCCCAGAUGGGAUUAGCUAGUAGGUGGGGUAACGGCUCACCUAGGCGACGAUCCCUAGCUGGUCUGAGAGGAUGACCAGCCACACUGGAACUGAGACACGGUCCAGACUCCUACGGGAGGCAGCAGUGGGGAAUAUUGCACAAUGGGCGCAAGCCUGAUGCAGCCAUGCCGCGUGUAUGAAGAAGGCCUUCGGGUUGUAAAGCACUUUCAGCGGGGAGGAAGGCGAUAAGGUUAAUAACCUUGUCGAUUGACGUUACCCGCAGAAGAAGCACCGGCUAACUCCGUGCCAGCAGCCGCGGUAAUACGGAGGGUGCAAGCGUUAAUCGGAAUUACUGGGCGUAAAGCGCACGCAGGCGGUCUGUCAAGUCGGAUGUGAAAUCCCCGGGCUCAACCUGGGAACUGCAUUCGAAACUGGCAGGCUAGAGUCUUGUAGAGGGGGGUAGAAUUCCAGGUGUAGCGGUGAAAUGCGUAGAGAUCUGGAGGAAUACCGGUGGCGAAGGCGGCCCCCUGGACAAAGACUGACGCUCAGGUGCGAAAGCGUGGGGAGCAAACAGGAUUAGAUACCCUGGUAGUCCACGCCGUAAACGAUGUCGAUUUGGAGGUUGUGCCCUUGAGGCGUGGCUUCCGGAGCUAACGCGUUAAAUCGACCGCCUGGGGAGUACGGCCGCAAGGUUAAAACUCAAAUGAAUUGACGGGGGCCCGCACAAGCGGUGGAGCAUGUGGUUUAAUUCGAUGCAACGCGAAGAACCUUACCUGGUCUUGACAUCCACAGAACUUAGCAGAGAUGCUUUGGUGCCUUCGGGAACUGUGAGACAGGUGCUGCAUGGCUGUCGUCAGCUCGUGUUGUGAAAUGUUGGGUUAAGUCCCGCAACGAGCGCAACCCUUAUCCUUUGUUGCCAGCGGUUAGGCCGGGAACUCAAAGGAGACUGCCAGUGAUAAACUGGAGGAAGGUGGGGAUGACGUCAAGUCAUCAUGGCCCUUACGACCAGGGCUACACACGUGCUACAAUGGCAUAUACAAAGAGAAGCGACCUCGCGAGAGCAAGCGGACCUCAUAAAGUAUGUCGUAGUCCGGAUUGGAGUCUGCAACUCGACUCCAUGAAGUCGGAAUCGCUAGUAAUCGUAGAUCAGAAUGCUACGGUGAAUACGUUCCCGGGCCUUGUACACACCGCCCGUCACACCAUGGGAGUGGGUUGCAAAAGAAGUAGGUAGCUUAACCUUCGGGAGGGCGCUUACCACUUUGUGAUUCAUGACUGGGGUG
rnacentral:rRNA from 1 species